GAUGAACGCUAGCUACAGGCUUAACACAUGCAAGUCGAGGGGUAACGAGAGGGAAGCUUGCUUUCCUUGUCGACGACCGGCGCACGGGUGAGUAACGCGUAUCCAAACUUCCCCCAACUAAGUAAUAACCUUGCGAAAGUAAGACUAAUACCUUAUAAUUUCCUCAGAUGACAUCUGACGAGGAAUAAAGUUUUACCGGUUGCGGACGGGGAUGCGUCUGAUUAGCUUGUUGGCGGGGUAACGGCCCACCAAGGCAACGAUCAGUAGGGGUUCUGAGAGGAAGGUCCCCCACAUUGGAACUGAGACACGGUCCAAACUCCUACGGGAGGCAGCAGUGAGGAAUAUUGGUCAAUGGGCGGAAGCCUGAACCAGCCAAGUAGCGUGCAGGAUGACGGCCCUAUGGGUUGUAAACUGCUUUUAUACAGGAAUAAAGUUAGCCACGUGUGGUUAUUUGUAGGUACUGUAUGAAUAAGGACCGGCUAAUUCCGUGCCAGCAGCCGCGGUAA
rnacentral:rRNA from 1 species